rnacentral:tRNA from 1 species
AUGUUCUUUUACCAAGUUUAAUAGUCAACAAUGAUUUUAAAUUGCAAAUUUAAAGGUAAAUAA